UACGGAGGGGGCUAGCGUUGUUCGGAAUUACUGGGCGUAAAGCGCACGUAGGCGGCUUUGCAAGUUAGAGGUGAAAGCCCGGGGCUCAACUCCGGAAUUGCCUUUAAAACUGCAUCGCUAGAAUUGUGGAGAGGUAAGUGGAAUUCCGAGUGUAGAGGUGUAAUUCGUAGAUAUUCGGAAGAACACCAGUGGCGAAGGCGACUUACUGGACACAUAUUGACGCUGAGGUGCGAAAGCGUGGGGAGCAAACAGG
rnacentral:rRNA from 1 species